rnacentral:rRNA from 1 species
UACGUAGGGUGCAAGCGUUGUCCGGAAUUAUUGGGCGUAAAGAGCUCGUAGGCGGCUCGUUGCGUCGGCUGUGAAAACCCGCAGCUCAACUGUGGGCUUGCAGCCGAUACGGGCGGGCUGGAGUUCGGUAGGGGAGACUGGAAUUCCUGGUGUAGCGGUGAAAUGCGCAGAUAUCAGGAGGAACACCGGUGGCGAAGGCGGGUCUCUGGGCCGAUACUGACGCUGAGGAGCGAAAGCGUGGGGAGCAAACAGG